AUACUUACCUGGUACUGGAGUAGCCUUGAUCACCGAGGAGGCUUUCCCGAGCAGAGACCUUUCAUUGCACUGCGACAGGUUGACGCUCGCCACAUCCACAAAUUGUGGUUGCUUGGGGUGCAAAAUUUCUGGUAGUUGGGACUGCGUUCGCGCUGUCCCUAU
rnacentral:snRNA from 1 species